CUGGGGUCCCCCUGCGGGCGGGGUACCACAGCAGCAAAACUUGCUCCCCACGCGGGCCAGGCCGUACACCCACAGCGAGGCAGCAAAACCCGCACCGGUGCCCACCCCCUGUGGCCGCUCCGGCCCGCGGCGGAGGUGUUCGCUCCUGCCAGACACGGGUAUCAGCCUGCACUUCACAAGUGAUCACCACGGAAGCGCCCCAGCCAAUAAAUCACCUGCCCACCGGGGAAGAGGGGCCUCCCACUCCGGGUGUUAGAGACCCGCGGGCCAAACGCUGGGAAGGGCCAAACCUGGCCUGUAAGACCCAUCUGCAACCUCCUACUCUAGUCCUGCAGGCUCUGCGAGUUCCGAUUUCUCCCUUUGCUAGGAUAUGACUCAUCACUGUCAAUUUCCAAUGUAAUUGAUACAGUUCAGUGGGAACAAUCUGUGAGACACAAGAAAACAGCAAACACUCCUCUGGUACGAAGAGUGACUUCCUGGUACUUGACUUCUGCACCAGUCAUACAAUCAACAGGCAUCCGAAGCUGCGCACAGCAUCUCCGCCAGAACUAGAACAAGAAGGAGCUCUGCCCUCAAGGAGUUCUAGUCAGUUCAAAGAAGCAAAUAGAUAUGGAUGACUCUUGGGCCUAUAAGGAAAGCAGCGGAGGAACAAAGGGUAGUGGGUGGAGCUAGGAGGGGGAGGCUCGACUUAGGGGAAGUGACAAGGAAGAGCAGAAGCCUGCCAGGUGGGCUCCAGCUGGACUUCAAGUUGACCAAGAAGGACAUAGGAACAUUCUGGAAGCUGCAAGGACAAGAGACUGAGGAUUCCGGCUGCAUAGAGCUCUAAGGAGCUGAGGGCACACAGGGGUUGAAGGAGGAGCUUUCCCUGGGGAAGCCCCAGUAUGGACCAGGAAGAGAACAGAGCAGAGCAGAGGCUGGCACACUGCACUGGUAGGAAAUGAGGUCAUGAACUCACUUUAAUAAUUUACUCAACACCUAGCACUGGGAGGGACUCUGGAAAACCCUGCCAGGACAUGUACUAAACUGUGACUCGCUUUCAGCAGAUAAGGACAGUGCUGAGGCUCCUGAGCCCUGACUUCAACCCCGCCACUUUCCAUGCAGACUGCUAAGGAUGCCAGUUUCCAAGGUUCUUUUCAAAUACAGACUCAAAUCCCUCCUACUCCCUCCAGAGUGGAGUCCUGUGGCCAGCCCCCCCGCCCACUCUCUCAUCUGUAGGAGACUUCAUUGAUGAGGUAGGUCUGUAAACCCUGCAAAGGCAGGAAUCCCCUCCCUAGGGUGCUGGGCAACUGGUAUCCUCCAAGUUUUUGAGACGCGUUGGGGCUGGGCUGGAAAAGACUAAGAAAUGGAGAAGGGUCCAUAGCCAGGCACCGUGGAGCUUGCCUACAAUCCCAGCACGUGGGAGAUGGAGGCAGGACAAGGAAUCCAACCAUUCUUCUGUACAUAGUCUGAGGCUGCCCUGGCUAAUCAGACCCUGCAUUAAAAAGUAAAGCAGAAGGGGAGGGGGAACAAAAAACAACCACCAAAAACCCAAUACCCCACAGCAAACCAACCAUCGCCACCACAGGAAGGAGGGUCCAGCCUGAGCCCUGAGAGCAGACCUGACCUCCACGCUUCCUGACAACCGAUUCUCCUGGUUUUCGUGCCAUCACCUGGCCCAAUUCUUAGCCUCUAAAUGUGUUUCCAGAGUUCUGGGCUUUCUUCUAAGCAAAGCUCCAUGACAGCCUCCUGCCGCCUGGCUCUGAGUUUCUUGCAAGAUGUUCACUGUAUCCUAAGGCUGCCAUCUAUGAUCAGUUAUCAGAUUGUCUUACAGACAUCUCAGACUAACCACACUUCCAGAGAUAUGAAUUUGACAUCUGAUGGUGAAUGGAGAUCUAUGUAUGCUAAGUACAAAGUGCCCUUGCCCCCCCCCACACACACACACACAAAAAAAAAAAAAAAAAAAAAAAAAAAAAGAGGAAGUAAAAGCUUCAUGUGGCCAGUGCUGUUAUUUCUCUAUGGAAAGCCACAGGCCUCAAAACCAGCCAAACAUCUGCCUCUCAGGAGGACUUCACCUGUGGUUUACCAGAAAUGCAGAGUGGCCUCUAAAAUGGAAACAGAGCCACGCCCUCAGAACACACAGGGUAACUGGCCGUCAGUAUGGGAGACUGCCCUCUACAGUCGUGAGCACCAUUCCCUCUGUGCAUCCCUUUCCAUGUGAAGACCUUCAUGGUUUCAGUAGUGAUUUAAUCAUUACCACAGACUUGUUCAAAGAGGAUGCUCAGUCACUACGUUCAUGGCCAUGUUCUGUUCCUUCCAAGUUCUUAUGUAUCAUUUCUCUGUCCCUGAUGGCACAGACAUUAGAAUGCCAGGUUGCCAAGGGCGACAGAGAAAGAUGCAGGCAUUUAAACUGUGAAACCCACUGGGUCACAUGCAGGUGCUAAGUAGUCCUGCUUUCUGCUCCAGGGCUUGACAGCACCCCACUUUUAUGUGGGUGCUGAGGCUCUUGGGAAGUUGGCACUUGUUUCCUUGGUAUUUUUCACCUCCAAGUAACCUGAGUGUGCAGCGUGGGAGCAAAACUACAUUGUUUCCUAUUUCUGCAUCCUCACAGCCAGAUGAAACCCAAACAGAAACUUGUACUUAACUCAUCUAUGGCAAAGAGAAUAUUCUGGAUGAUCCAACUCAGUUCAUGAGUUUGAUGCAGGUUUUUCAGUUCCUAACAGGGAAAACAUAAUGCCUAGAUUUAGAAAAUGUGAAUAGGGGCUGGAGAGCUGGUUCAGUGGUUAAGAGAACUUGUUGCUUUUACAGAUGGUUUGGUUUGCAGCACCCACAUGGAGGCUCACAGCUCUCUGUAACUCCAGUUCCAGGGGAACUGACACCCUCUUCUGACUUCAAGGGCACCAGGCACACACAUGGUGGACUUACAUACAUAUAGGCAAAACACUUAUUCACGUGAAAUAAUUCUAAAAAAAAAUUUUGUUACAAGUAUCCAGUACCAUUAAAGUUGGAGCUCUGCCCGAUCCCCAUUGUGGUUGGUGUGUGUGUGUGUGUGUGUGUGUGUGUGUGUGUGGACAGUAAUUGAGGCCAUGAAGUUAAAAACACAAUAUGAAAAGUCUGGCCAUCAGUAAAAGGUUUCUGAACAUUCUACAGUUAGGAAUUAAUGAAAAACUCAAAUAACACAGUCAAGUUUCUGUCAGCACCACCCAUUCAUUGCAGCCUGCUAAGCACAAAAUUCGUACUCGGUGCAUGCCACCACGCCACACAGUGCUAACGAAUGUACACCAAACACCUUGGCUCAGAUUCAAGAUGGAGGGCAGUGUUGUUGUUACUGUACUUACAAAGUUUUCUGCUCUUAUGGAAAUAAUGGCUUAAUUAGGGAAAACAAAGACUUUUAAUAUUUUCCUCAUUAAGUAUCAAAUUAGUCUAUCUUUGGAUUACGUUGUGUUGAGAAUGCUUUCGUAAAAAAGAGCUGUUUGAAGUUAAGAGCUUUUGUUGUUCUUCCCAGGACCCACACCAGCAGCUCACAACCACCUGUAACUCAGCUCUAGGGAUCGGCAUGGUCUGCUGGCCUCCACAGGUACCUUUAGAUAUGAGGCCUUCACUCAUACAGACACAUGUGCAUAUGUGUGUGCGCACACACACACACACACACACACAAAUAAAACCAAAUCUUUAAAAUCGGACAUUUUGAGGGCUGGUGAAGUGGCUUAGCAUGCCAAGAGGCUUGUGGGUAAGCCUGACGACCUGAGUUCCAUCUCUAGGACUCUGGCGGAGGACAGAACUCCUGCAUGCUGUCCUCUGGUCUCCACAUGAGCCCCAACACAGAUGUACUGACACACACAUAUUAACAGUGUAGGAGAAAAACAUUUUUAAUAAGGAUGGCUUUUGAGUCCUGGCUUGGGAUUAGAAGAGAGUUUCCAGCUGUUUCUGAAAAGGUCUUAGUCAUACUUCUGCCAUUUGUCUACGUUUUCAUGUGAAGCUGUGUUCUCAACACUGAUGUCAUAAAACCUAAAUAUUGAAUAAUUCUGAAGAACCCCAAAGAUGCUCAACAUCCAAGCAAGAUUUCUUUUAUGUCAAGCAAGCACAUCCAUAUCACUAAUAUGCAAAUGUUCUCACUGCUAAUAAAUGGUAAAAUGAGAGGCAUACCAACUCACCUUCAAA